rnacentral:tRNA from 1 species
GCGGGGGUGGGAGAGUGGUCAAAUCCGCUAGCUUGAGGGGCUAGUCCCUUAGUGGGUUCGCGUGUUCGAAUAGUGACGCCCGAGGCGGCAAUGCUUCGAACGUCAGUAAGAAUGUCACGUCCCCCGCA